rnacentral:lncRNA from 1 species
AUAUUUAUCUCAUAACCUUUCUGUAAUAACUGCCCAAGACUAAGUAAAUUAGUCUCCAAUCCAGGUACAUACAAUACCUCUUCAAUGAUUACCUCUCUGCCUCCUUCAUCUCUCAACACCACUCUACCAGAACAUUUUGCCUCUAACCCCCUGUUAUCUGCAAGUCUGAUUUUUCUAUGCUUCACUUCAUGAGUUCUUACAAACCAAUCCUUUCUCCC